rnacentral:rRNA from 1 species
AUGGGCAUUCCUACGGCCUAUAUAAGCUGCUCCGCGCCCGCUAAACCCUCCACCCCUCUCGCCAGUCUCCAGCAGCUCCAAGCUCAAUCCAUCGCCUCCACCAGGCUCCAGUACCGCGCCCGCCUCGCCUCGCAAGAGGCUUCCUCGACCUCUCCUUCAAGCAGCGGAGACCGGAGCCUACGCGGGGCUUCGCGCCAGGAGCUGGCUAACCAUCAGCAGACCCUCGCGGCGGCGCCGGCGCCGGACGCGGAGCUGGCCGGGGAGACGGAGGAGCAGCGCGGCAAGUUCCUCGUGCUGCGCCUCUACGAGGCGCUCAACGCCCGCGACGCGCGCCGGGCGCAGGAGCUGCUCGCCCCGGACCUCGAGUGGUGGUUCCAUGGCCCGCCGGCGCACCAGCACAUGAUGCGCCUCCUCACCGGCGCAGGCACCAACGCCGAGUUCAGGUUCUCCCCCCGCUCCGUCGACGCCUUCGGCUCCACCGUCAUCGCCGAGGGGAGCGCGGACGGCGCCGGCCAGCUCCUCUACUGGGUGCACGCCUGGACCGUCGGGCCCGAUGGGGUGAUCACUCAGCUCAGGGAGUACUUCAACACCGACCUCACCGUCACCCGCCUCUCCGCCGCGGCGGCCACCAACAACGCCAGCGCGGGCUCCCCUAGCCACUCCUCCUCUUCUUCUGCCUCUUCCUCCCCCUCCUCGUCUACGUCCUCGGGCCUCUCCUCGCCGGCGCACACGCCCAAGUGGCCCAAGUGCCUGUGGCAGAGCCGCCGCAGCGACCGCGCGCGCAAGUCGCUGCCGGGCCUCGUCCUCGCCAUCUAA